rnacentral:rRNA from 1 species
AUUGAACGCUGCCGGCAUGCUUAAAACAUUCAAGUCGAACGGCAACAGGCCGCAAGGUGCUGACGAGUGGCGAACGGGUGAGUAAUGCAUCGGAACGUGCCCAGUCGUGGGGGAUAACGCAGCGCAAGCUGUGCUAAUACAGCAUACGACCAAUGGAUGAAAGCGGGGGACCGUAAGGCCUCGCGCCAUUGGAGCCGCCGCUGUCCGGUUAGGUAGUUGGUGGGGUAAAGGCCCACCAAGCCAACCAUCUGUAGCUGGUCUGAGAGGACGACCGGCCACACUGGGACUGAGACACGGCCCAGACUCCUACGGGAGGCAGCAGUGGGGAAUUUUGGACAAUUGGCGCAAGCCUGAUCCAACAAUGCCGCGUGCAGGAAGAAGGCCUUCGGGUUGUAAACUGCUUUUGUACGUAACGAAAAGGUCUGGGUUAAUACCCUGGGCUGAUGACGGUACCGUAACAAUAAGCACCGGCUAACUACGUGCCAGCCGCCGCCGUAAAAC